rnacentral:misc_RNA from 1 species
GAUGAAGAACGCAGCGAAAUGCGAUACUUGGUGUGAAUUGCAGAAUCCCGCGAAUCAUCGAGUUUUUGAACGCAAGUUGCGCCCGAAGCCAUUCGGCCGAGGGCACGUCUGCCUGGGUGUCACGCAUCGUUGCCCCCCCAAACUCCGGUUCGGGCAGGGCGGAAGUUGGCCUCCCGUGCGUGCCUGCGCGCGCAGUUAGCCCAAAAGCGAGUCCUCGGCGACGAGCGCCACGACAAUCGGUGGUUUUUUUACCCUCGUUCCUCGUCGUGCGUGCCCCGUCGCCCGAACGCGCUCUUGCGACCCUUACGCGUCGCCUCGGCGGCGCUCCCAACGCGACCCCAGGUCAGGCGGGACUACCCGCUGAGUUUAAGCAUAUCAAUAAGCGGAGGA